rnacentral:rRNA from 1 species
ACGAACGCUGGCGGCGUGCUUAAACCAUGCAAGUCGAACGGAAAGGCCCUGCUUUUGUGGGGUGCUCGAGUGGCGACCGGGGGAUUAACCCGUGAGUAACCUGCCCUUGACUUUGGGAUAACUUCAGAAAACUGGGGCUAAUACCGGAUAGGAGCUCCUGCUGCAUGGGGGGGGUUGGAAAGUUUCGGCGGUUGGGGAUGGACUCGCGGCUUAUCAGCUUGUUGGUGGGGUAGUGGCUUACCAAGGCUUUGACGGGUAGCCGGCCUGAGAGGGUGACCGGCCACAUUGGGACUGAGAUACGGCCCAGACUCCUACGGGAGGCAGCAGUGGGGAAUAUUGCACAAUGGGCGGAAGCCUGAUGCAGCAACGCCGCGUGCGGGAUGACGGCCUUCGGGUUGUAAACCGCUUUCGCCUGUGACGAAGCGUGAGUGACAGUAAUGGGUAAAGAAGCACCGGCUAACUACGUG